rnacentral:snRNA from 1 species
GGAUGUGAGGGCGAUCUGGUGGUGACAUCUGUCACCCCAUUGAUCAGCAGGGGUUGAUUCGCUGAUCUGGCUGGCUAGGGGGGUGUUCCCUUCCUCCCUCAGUGAUCCAUGUGCGUCCCUCCCAAAGUUGCACGCUGGGUUGAAGAGGACUACCACCCUCGAUAGAGGAGGACCGUUCCUCGGUCAAGGUUAUACAAGUAGCUGUGCUCCUCUGCUAGAACCUCCAAACAAGCUCUCAAAGGUGGGUGAGAAGAGCUGGUUACCCUG